AUAAGCUUAUGAGCACAGCGUCUGCCAGGUACUGAGCUACGACUUAGUGGCACUGCUUUAGGCAACCUCUGUGCAUACAGACAUCUGCUUGCAAGAAAAGACAGGAAACCCAGAAACCCUUUCAAAUGAAAAUGUAAAAAGCUGAUAGACAUUGAAGUUAUUCCAAGAGGAAGCUGCUUUUCAAAGAAGACUCUAGAUCCGUGCUGAAGAAAGAUGUGCUGUAGAAUUUGGACAUCAGCAAGGUAUCUCUUUCUGUGGCAUUGGUGAGGGAUGCAGGGAAAGAAGAAGGAAGGAGGUCCCACAAUAGGCCAUCUGCAAGCUGAGGAGCAAGGAAGCCAGUCUGAGUCCUAAAACUGAAGAACUUGGGGUCCACGAUUCAAGGGCAGGAAGCAGCCAGCACAGAAGAAAGAUGCAGGCUGGGAGGUAGGCCAAUCUAGUCUUUUCAUGUUUUUUCUGCCUGCUUUAGAUCGUGG
rnacentral:lncRNA from 1 species